rnacentral:rRNA from 1 species
UACGAAGGGGGCUAGCGUUGCUCGGAAUCACUGGGCGUAAAGGGUGCGUAGGCGGGUCUUUAAGUCAGGGGUGAAAUCCUGGAGCUCAACUCCAGAACUGCCUUUGAUACUGAAGAUCUUGAGUUCGGGAGAAGUGAGUGGAACUGCGAGUGUAGAGGUGAAAUUCGUAGAUAUUCGCAAGAACACCAGUGGCGAAGGCGGCUCACUGGCCCGAUACUGACGCUGAGGCACGAAAGCGUGGGGAGCAAACAGG